CUUCUCUUGCUCCUAACCUUUACCUCUUGAUUGAUUCUUGAAUUUAAAUACAAGUUCAACGUACUAUAUAUGUACCAAGACAAAUCAUAAAUGGGUUCGAUUCUUCCCAUCAAUCUUGGUCAGAUAUGGUCCAACCAUUCUUUACUGCCAGGAAGGCCAUUCAAAUAGCGUUGUCAUUCUUUUGAUAAUAACAGAGUUUUGUCAGUGUUAUAGAUAAGGGUGCCCCUUAGGGUGUGCCUCACAUCGCUAGAUGGCAACCGGUUGUAGAAAUUUUUAAGAUCUCACAGCGCAAUCAGGGUUAGACUCAUGCGACCAGCCCCUGAUCACAAUAGGAGACCCUACGACCAGUUUUUGCUGGUCGUCGGGCAGGUACUCACCUAGCUGGCCAAGUCUUAUUUAAUGUUGAUCACUCAAGUAUUUUCUUUUGCACUCCCUUUCGGUGAGCAUGGUCGUGGAAUGACGUGGUGUAGCAGUGACACAUCCCGCAACAUUUAAUGUUGUGGGAUGGCCUGACGAGUGGCAUGAUGGCGUUCGGUGAUGGUACAGGUCGUGCAGGAACACAAGAGCAGGGUGGCGCGCAUACCCACCGUCAUGAUGAGCUAGGAAUAGCUAGGUUGUAUUGGGUAUAGGUCUAUCACCUGUUUUGGCACGAUCCGUUUGUAUAUAAAGGGAGGGAGACCGGGAUAGUAGAGGGAGGACUGUAACCAUUUUCAUACUCGAUAGGAAAAUACACAGAACGUAGAGCUAUUAUCGAACGGGAGAUCUGAACCUGGAUAAAUCAUUGUGUUCUUGAGUCCCUUUGGCACACACACAUCUCAGCCAGAAACGUAGAUCAACUCGUCCAUUGUCCGGUAUACCCCGGAUACAUUGUCAGGAAUCAACCAUCGACAAGUUUAUUGAAGCACCAUCACAAAAAACGAUUGGUGCAGCAACACUUCAUUUAGAUCUUGUAGAGAUGCAUUUCAUAGUUGUGGAAGAACUGAAGCAGCUGUAAAUGAAAUAGCACUCGCUACCUAUUUUUGUAGAUCUCCAAGCAUGUAGCUUCCUAGGCAAUUUAGUGAUAUAGCUUGGUCAGAGUUCAGAUUCAUAAUAAAAGACAGUGAGCACUCAGUGCCCUCAUUUUGUAACCUGUGCAGGCUUAAAACUUGUAAAUGUACAUUUUUUAACCACCAUUUCUGUCAAAUUUGGGCAGAUCUUGAAAUGCAUUAUAAGUGUAGCAUGUAAAUCCUGUAAGAAGCCAAAGCAUGACUUCUAAAUGACAGAUCUGAUCUGACAUUUUACUUUAUGUGGCACAUGGUCAAAGUCUAUUUACUACUCUAGAGCAGCUAUUGAGUCAUAGUGAUUACCUAUGCUUCAAGUUCUGAAUGUUAUUUCAGUUAUUAUUCUUUGCUCUCGUGUUCCAAGUGGUAUAUAGAUAUGCACUGAAUUGAAUUGAACGUGACUGAGCUUCUAGGUCUAUUUAAUUCGAUGCCAUUCCAGAUUUGUUCGAUGAAGGAUGAGGAUGUUAAAUUAUGCAUAUCUUUAGAUGAUUGAAAAGCUUCAAAGUUACAACCAUUGAAAUAGCUCUCAGUGUUGCACACAACUAUGUGACCACUAAGACUAGAAAACUGAUCGAGAUAUAAAAAAUUGCUCCUUUCAAAGCUCAAGAGUCUAGGACCAGUCCAGUGUUCAUGGAAAAGCUAUCAGGCAGAGACAGAUCAAACUGGUUAAUUACUCUUAGCAUCACACACGUUGUCUGCUGAUUUUGAGCUGGUCAAGUUGAACAGUGGGUGACUACUGGGUGUUUGAUCAAAUGCCUGCUUGAGUUUAGUUGCGUGUAGGGGACUGUGAACAAUGAGUAUGAGACCCUUGGCUACUUUAUUAAAGGGUCUACCUUCUCUUGACACAGCUUGGGAUUGACAAAGAUCGCCUACGCUUCCGACAGCAUCUGCCAAAUGAAAUGGCUCACUAUGCUGCUGAUUGUUAAGAUGCAGAAAUUAAAUGCUCUUACGGGUGGAUCGGGUGGAUUGAGUGUUUUGGAAUUGCUGAUAGGUCUGCAUAUGACUUGCGUGCUCACUCAGUAUCUAUCAUCAUAGAAUGCUUACAGUCUUGGUAUUGCUGGGAUAACAAAAUAAGUAGUUCAGUAUAUAAUAAAGAAUUCCAAAUCAGUUUUUCUUUGGUUGAAGCAAAUGAUCAAGGUUGACAAUCAAGCGUUCACAUAUAAUGCCACUCAGAUAACAUUGUUGAGUUUCAGGUUAUAUUAUUUAAGGUGUUAGCAGGUAUUGAAUCUCCUAUGUGUGUUUUUGUUGCUGCUAGGGCUGUCAACAAGCCGAGCUCGAGCGACCCUGACAUGGCAAGCUUGAGCUCGGUAGAAACUCAAGCUUAGCUCAAGCAAGUUUGGGUUGCCGACUGAGUUUAGAGACAAAAUUGAGUUUUGCUCAACCGAAGCUCGACUUAAGUAAGCUUGUUAACAUAAAAAAAAUUACAAAUUUUCUUCUUUAUUCCUUAAUCAAACGUAUAAAUUGUGGAAGUUCUUGAAUAAAAAAAAGGAAAUUGGGACACGCGUAUGACCUCACAGCUG